UACGUAGGGGGCAAGCGUUGUCCGGAUUUAUUGGGCGUAAAGAGCGUGUAGGCGGCUAGGUAGGUCCGUUGUGAAAACUCGAGGCUCAACCUCGAGACGUCGAUGGAAACCAUCUAGCUAGAGUCCGGAAGAGGAGAGUGGAAUUCCUGGUGUAGCGGUGAAAUGCGCAGAUAUCAGGAAGAACACCCCGUGGCUAAGGCGGCUCUCUAGUACGGUACUGACGCUGAGACGCGAAAAGCGUGGGGGAGCAAACAGG
rnacentral:rRNA from 1 species